rnacentral:rRNA from 1 species
UGGGGAAUAUUGCACAAUGGGGGAAACCCUGAUGCAGCGACGCCGCGUGGGUGAGGAAGUAUUUCGGUAUGUAAAGCCCUAUCAGCAGGGAAGAAGAUGACAGUACCUGACUAAGAAGCCCCGGCUAACUACGUGCC